CCUACGGGUGGCUGCAGUCGAGAAUCUUCGGCAAUGAGCGCAAGCUUGACCGAGCGACGCCGCGUGCGGGAUGAAGGCCUUCGGGUUGUAAACCGCUUUGGUCCGAAAGAUGUCAUCGGAGAAACAAGGACGGGCUAAGUUCGUGCCAGCAGCCGCGGUAAGACGAACCGUCCAAACGUUAUUCGGAAUCACUGGGCUUAAAGGGCGCGUAGGCGGCCGAGCGGGUCACGGGUGAAAUCCUCCAGCUUAACUGGAGAACUGCCCUUGAUACCAUGCGGCUCGAGGAAGGAAGGGGUCAUGGGAACUGUCGGUGGAGCGGUGAAAUGCGUUGAUAUCGACAGGAACGCCGGUGGCGAAAGCGCAUGACUGGUCUUUCUGACGCUGAGGCGCGAAAGCCAGGGGAGCAAACGGGAUUAGAUACCCUUGUAGUC
rnacentral:rRNA from 1 species